CGUAGGCGGUUCGCUGCCGGCGACGUCGCGAGAAUUCCACUGAACCUUAUCAUUUAGAGGAAGGAGAAGUCGUAACAAGGUUUCCGUAGGUGAACCUGCGGAAGGAUCAUUGUCGAACCCUGCAUGGCAGAACAACCCGUGAACGUGUAUCAACAAGACGGCUUGGCGGGCUGUCGAAGCUUUCUGUUUCGAGCCUCGUUAAGCCUGUCGACGUGCGUCCGGGGUGCCUCCUUUUGGCACCUCCGGCGGCACGUUGACGCAAUAACAACCCCCGGCACGGAACGUGCCAAGGAAAACCGAACAUAAGAGUGCCCUUGUGGUGAUGCCCCGUAUUUGGUGGCCUCGUUGCAUGCGGCUGCUUUUGUAAAUCUUAAACGACUCUCGGCAACGGAUAUCUAGGCUCACGCAUCGAUGAAGAACGUAGCAAAAUGCGAUACUUGGUGUGAAUUGCAGAAUCCCGUGAACCAUCGAGUUUUUGAACGCAAGUUGCGCCUGAGGCCUCCCGGCUGAGGGCACGUCUGCCUGGGCGUCACGCAUCACGUCGCCCGCAUCAAACGUCCUUGUUUGGAUUGUGAUGUAUGCGGGCGGAGACUGGUCUCCUGUGCCCAUGGUGCGGUUGGCCUAAAUACGAGUCCGCUUAAGAGUGACGCACGACUGGUGGUGGUUGACUACGCGGUCGUCUCGUGUCGUGUGUUUCGAUUCUUAAAGGGAAACGCUCUUGAACUACCCUGAUGCGCCGUCUUGCGACGGCCCUUCGAUCGCGACCCCAGGUCAGGCGGGACUACCCGCUGAGUUUAAGCAUAUCAAUAAGCGGAGUAAA
rnacentral:rRNA from 1 species